UGGGACCCUUACACCUGAACAGCCACCAAAACUGUACACAAUGGAUCAGAAGAUUAUCUGGCCCCAGGACAGCCAGCUUCGACCCCGUUUCAGGAUGAAAGUUCAACGGCUCUGGUUCAAUGAAUCAUGGUACCAGCAGGAGAAGCACAAGUAUUUUUCUCCAGAGGAAAAGAUGCGCUGGAGCUUAUCAAAAUCAUCGACCUAUAAAAUAUCGCUGGGUUAUCAUAAAGGAGAAUAAAAUUGUUGAAAGAUCGUGUGCCACGGUAGAAAAUACAAGCCGCUGGGUUAUCGUUCGUUUCUCUUCGUUUCUUCCGUCCUGAUGGUGUGUUCGAUAAAACGCGAUUGCACAAGAGAAUCAGGUAAUGCGAGCACAAUAAAAAAUUAUAUUCUUAUAUCGACGUAAAGCCCCUUCGCUUUAAUUUGUCCACCCUCGUAUCUAUUCUACUUCAUUUGUCUCCUCUGGUCUCUUCUCUUCAUUUCUUCUUCUUCAUUAGGUUCUGUUUCAUUGAACCAGUGUAUCCUGGUAAAAGCACGCAGUUCUUGGCCUUUCUCUCCCUGAAGUUUCGUUGUGAAGCGAGAAACUAACCGAACACCAUUGUUCCAUGAGACCCUUCAACCCUUUGCAAUUGGAUUUCUUCAGUUUGCUUCACUGAAAGCUAAUCAUUGAUUCUUCUUAAGAGAGCAGAAAAUAUAAAAGCAAAGAUUUCAAGUAACUGUUUUGAAUGAUUGCAAAGGGUUGCUAUUUCUCCUUGGACCAUCUGAUCACCCCCAAUCGCACCUAUAACAAUUUUCUAUGACAAGUGGCUUCACUUAGAGGUACGAUGCAGGAGGUCGAUGAAGUGUGCGCUCAGAAGGUUCAUAGUGAACGAGGAAAGAAAGAUAUUGGCGAAAAGGAAUUGGAGAGCCAUUACGUGUCAGACUUAGUUCCUUCGCUCAGCUUUCUUCAAUCAAGGGGUUGUUUCAGAGCGACACACCAUCCUUCGAAGGGUUUCCCUUUUCAAGCUGGGAUACCCAUGUUUCAUCACAUGGUAAUUAUUCUUUUCAAGAGUGUCUUUGUAUUGGAGAUGUUUAAAAUAAAGUAAAACAUAUUGUUUUCCUUACAGAUCAACUAAGUUUCUAGUGGAUAUUAGAUAACUGAUUGUCACAUUGUUGCUUCUGCUAGUCAAUCUGUUUGUCAUUUUUGAAUAGAAGAUACCUUCCGUUGGAAAGUUUCAGCCUGUAACUUGGGAAUCCUUCGAUGGAUGCGUAUCACUCUUUCUCAAUUAAUAAUUAUGUAUACGUAGCAUAAUAUGUAGGUAUAGGUGUAUAUAUAACAACAGUUAAUCAUACAAAAUUGCGGCAGUGUGCUUUCACGUAUAAUUAAUGGUACGCGUUAUGUGUUGUCUUUUUUUUGUGUCAUUUUUGGACGCGUGAUUUCAUUGUUAUUAUUUUAAAAUUAGGAACGUCCAGGAACGCCGGACGCCGGAACGUUUUACUUUUUUAGGAUGACAUCCAAAGUCUUUAAUGAACUACACUUAUGUACAAAUAUUCUGGUCAGUCGGUAUAGGAUGACUCCUUUAAAAAGAGCAAAUUCGGUUUUCUUAUUGGGCCUGAUUAAACAGUUUCUUGCAGUUAUUUCUACUGCAAUAUUAUUGUGCAUUACAGUAUCUCCUACUGUUCUACUUAUUUCCUUCAAUAUUUCUCAUCUUUACACCAGUUUCUGUAAUAUUUCCUAUUACAGUAUUCUUUUAUUGCAACAUUUUCAUGAAGCAUGUUUGUUGCAAUGUUUCAUGAAAGUCUUUUGGUAAUGGUAAAAAUUUGUUACAGUCAUUUUCCACUGUAUACUUAUCACUCGUCGCAUUGAAUAGAAAAAGUACAAAGUAACGGUACAAAUAUAAAAGGUAAUAAUAUAGUUUCAUAGUGUAUAUGAUUAAAAAAAUUAUUAACUGCAGUUCAGACAAUAGGUAGUUCCUACAUCUUAUUGUAAUGUUCCAAGUUUUUAGACUUUUUGUAAAUUUUCAUUUAACCUCCUAAUUAUUUGAAGUAUAGAAGAAGUUUAGGAACUACCUAGAUUUUCCAGAAAUGUUUCACUGAAACGUGAAAGGGGAGAUGGUAUCCGGCGUUCCAUCGCGCUUACACAUCGAACGACAGUGAAACAGUCGGGGGUUCAAUACAAUUAUGAUGCGACUAAUUAGUAUGGUACAAUGAAUUAUACAAUAAUCCUUGACUCUUGUCUACUCGAAAGAAACACCAUCCUGGUGGCAUAAUAAAAAUAACACUGCGUAAGAAAAGAAAAGACUACAUUGGUGUGUAUCUUUAUGCACACGUAUAUUAUGAAUACAUUAUGCGCACAGAUAUAUUUGCACGUUGCAACAGCAAUGUCCAAUGAAAAUAUUAAAAUAUUAUAAAUGUUUCACUUUUUCAAAUAUUUAUAACUUAUUAACACUGAGAACGUAAAGAAAUCUAAAACUAUAAUUAGAUUUAGCGUAGUUUAACAUUUGAAGGUGCCAAUUGAAUUUACUCCGUAUUCCUGAACAAUGCUGAUGUACAAACGCUGCAUAUAUCUUGUGACAUUUACAUAGACUGCAUUCACAUACAAGGGCACGAGCGAAAUAAAGCAAUGGUAAUAACAGUCAACCCCUUGAAGCUCUAAAUAUCUUCAACAGUAUACUUUCAUUAGCACGAAGUACUGUUUCAAACAUUUCAUUUCCAUAUGAGAAGUGGAAGUUUUGCUUACGAACAGUUUAAUAUAUUGUUAAAGGAAUAUUUAGUAAUUUAGAGGCAACGUUUCUCCAAAGGGUUAACAAAUACCCACUGAUCCUAGCGUUAUCAUUAUCCUGCAUACGAUGCAUUUUAUACAUUAUUUAUAUGAAGUUGAACAAUAGCUUUGUUCAGUCUGAAAUGUUUUUGUUAUCUCAACAAUAACAUCUGAGAAAGACAAAGUUAUUCAUUCAAACUCUAUGAAUUGCUAGAAAUUGUCAAAUAAACUAACUUUCUGAUUGUUCAUUUUAGGAACAUGCAUCUCCAACCAAACGAUGCUUCUCACAAUCAAUUAUUCUCUACGCUACAAACACCAAUACACUAGAGCAACAAAAAUAUAACAAAUUAACUGUUCGGCUCUUCCCAAGUGAAUCAACAAAAAGAAAUUAACUCAAAUGACAAUGUCUGACAAUUCACCCCGCGCAUAUGCGAACGUUUAUUUAUAUAUAUUACCAACUAACAAUAAUAAUAGCAAUAAUAGUCGAGUUUGUCGCUCGUGUCCCCGUCGACGAGAUCGUAGAACAAACGAACUCCGGUUCGUCCUCGUUAAAUGUUUUCUUCUUUACGUACACAAUAUAAUACUGGCUAUGUUUAGUCGUUUACAAGUUACAAUUAACUUUGUUUCUUUUUUUCUUUUUACUUGUAAUUAUUAUCGUUUCUCGGUGAGUUCGACUCCUUUCCCUUUUAGUUUCUUUUCCUUUUUUCGAUCCACCUCGUCCUUCCAUUGUCUUCACUCUCAGUUCGUCAGUUUCCUAUUGUCAACAUGUACAAGAAGUGUUUGGAGUCGGUUUCUCAGCUCCUGAAUAUCUUUAUGUGUUAUAUUUAUUUAUCAGCAUCUGCGUGCACUUAUACCCAGUGCUUCGUUUCUUUCUCAUUCGUAUACGUGGACGCAGGCGUCGUGUACUUCAGCAGUUCCAUCGUGUUUCUGUAUACGAGGGCUAGCUAACCUCUACAAGGCCAGCCGAGUUGGUCGUGACCCCUUCGUUGCCUUUCUCGAGUCCCAGGCCACCCAUGAGGCUCUUGUUAAUUGGCUCCGGCGAGGCUUCCGACUCCUCGCUGCUAGGUGAACCGGGAGACGAGACUAUCACCUGUGCAAACAGAGACGCCGUAUCGCCAGCGUCGUUUUCCAUUAGUCAUGUAAGCUUCUUCGACUCAAACAGGAAGCUGUGUGUGAAAGUAUAUUAACCCUUUGCACUCUGACCGAAGCGUUAGAUUUCAAAACCCAAUAAGAAACGUGUCUAUUCUUGUGACAAAGGAUGAUUAUGAAAUUAAUGUGCAAAGAGUUCUGUAUUUUCAUGGAAGAAGAUUUUCAUGAUUAUGUGUGCAAGGUGGAUGCAAAUGUUUCUAUGGUGAAAGCUCCGCUGAAGGAUUCUUGAAGCCAAAACGAGACUUCUUGUUGAACAAAAUGUUUUUGUCUUUGAAUGGCGAUGAUGAAGCGGAACUGAACGGUAUCUAAAGAGAAUAUGAGAUGCUUUAAAUUAACAUUGUUACAUGGUUAAAAGUAGAAUUAGUCAUUUAAGUGUCUCAUCUUGCGUACUAUACUUUGGCAUUCUUGCAUUCAUCGAUGAAGGGUUAAGAUUUAUGUGUUCGUUGGACAAGGAUAUCUGAGAACUCAAAGAAUAUUGUGUACUUGAAUACGGUUUCAAUAAUGCACAGGUAAUUCAUAGUCUUACAUAAAAAAUGUGAAUAUAAAACCGAAUUCAAGAUGCAACACACUCAUGGUGCAAUUACCACCGUUCUAGGUGUACUAAUGAUCUCUCAGACUGAUUUAGAGUGUUGUCAAAAGUUGAGUGGUAGGUCAAUUAAAAUAAACUACUUAACACUCUACGCUUGCUACUCUUAAGAAGGACCACUUUCCCUAUGUUUUCUCUUCGUUCCAAUUUUAAUUAAGUAAACAUCUAUGCGACGAGAGGUGAAAGUACAUUGUAAGAGUACUCUAAACUCUGCGCAUGAACGCUUGUACAUCAACCAACUGAUAGACAGAAUAAAUAUAACAAGUUA